rnacentral:misc_RNA from 1 species
UACGGAGGGAGCAAACGUUGUUCGGAUUUACUGGGUGUAAAGGGUGCGUAGGCGGCCCUGUAUGUCAGGGGUGAAAUCUGACGGCUCAACCGUCAAAUUGCCCCUGAAACUGCAGAGCUUGAGUCCGUGAGAGGAAGGUAGAAUUCCUGGUGUAACGGUGAAACGUGCAGAUAUCAGGAAGAACACCCGUGGCGAAGGCGGCCUUCUGGCACGGUACUGACGCUGAGGCACGAAAGCUAGGGUAUCGAACGGG